CAGCAGCCGCGGGAAAACGGAGGGUGCAAGCGUUAAUCGGAAUUACUGGGCGUAAGGCGUGCGUAGGCGGUUCGUUAAGUCUGUUGUGAAAGCCCCGGGCUCAACCUGGGAAUGGCAAUGGAUACUGGCGAGCUAGAGUGUGUCGGAGGAUGGUGGAAUUCCCGGUGUAGCGGUGAAAUGCGUAGAGAUCGGGAGGAACAUCAGUGGCGAAGGCGGCCAUCUGGGACAACACUGACGCUGAGGCACGAAAGCGUGGGGAGCAAACAGGAUUAGAUACCCCUGUAGUCCCUGUCUCUUAUAC
rnacentral:rRNA from 1 species